rnacentral:rRNA from 1 species
CCUACGGUGGGCAGCAGUGAGGAAUAUUGGUCAAUGGGCGCGAGCCUGAACCAGCCAAGUAGCGUGAAGGAUGACUGCCCUACGGGUUGUAAACUUCUUUUAUAAAGGAAUAAAGUGAGGCACGUGUGCCUUUUUGUAUGUACUUUAUGAAUAAGGAUCGGCUAACUCCGUGCCAGCAGCCGCGGUAAUACGGAGGAUUCAAGCAUUAUCCGGAUUUAUUGGGUUUAAAGGGUGCGUAGGCGGUCGGAUAAGUUAGAGGUGAAAUCCCGAGGCUCAACUUCGGAAUUGCCUCUGAUACUGUUCGGCUAGAGAGUAGUUGCGGUAGGCGGAAUUCGUGGUGUAGCGGUGAAAUGCUUAGAUAUCACGAAGAACUCCGAUUGCGAAGGCAGCUUACUAAACUGCCACUGACAUUGAUGCUCGAAAGUGUGGGUAUCAAACAGGAUUAGAUACCCCUGUAGUC